rnacentral:sRNA from 12 species
UCUUAACUAAUGAUCUGGAGUUGGACUACACGUUAAUUUAUUAGCACAUUGUUUAGUUUAUUUUAAGUCAUAAAAUACAGAAAUUCCUUGCGAGGAAUUUCAGUGAAGGAACUUUGUUCCCCAAUUGAUAAAUUAGCUAUAAGUA